AUACAUGAAAUGACAAAUAUGACUAUUAUUAUAAGCCAUCUGUAGAUACCUACUACAUUACUUCUAGUUAUCAGGGAGAAAAGAAAAUACUGGUCCUUUAUUCAUUAUUGUCAUAUCGAUGUUUCUGAGUUUUAUACCCCCACAUAUAUCGACAAUUCACAGCGUUGUCACAUGAAAUGAAAUAAUGUCCUGUCCAUACAUUGAUUGCUUCAACCAUCAAAGAUUCUACUGUCUAUACUUGUGAUUUGGAAAACUGAAUUAGCCCUCUUCUAUUCACUUGAUAUAAUUGUAGUCUACUAGUUCUAAUUCAAACAAGCCUAGAAGAUUUAUGAGAAUGUUCAAGAUCUACUACAUUUUUAAUAGCCUGGCAACGUUGGUGCCAUGUUUACGUAGGCAGAGGAUUGAGGAUCUACGCAGGCCCGACCAGCCAAUAGGCUAUUAGUUAUCGUUACAAUACACGCAUGUGGCAGUCACGGCCGUGUUUCUAUGCUAUGCUAUGCGGCAUGCGCUGUUCGUAGUUCGUUCUCCUUGUCGUCCAUCUUGAAAUAGUUUCGUGAGCUGUGUGUGUUUACUGUGUUUGUUUUGUCUGGAGGAAAUUAAUUGUACUUUGUCAUGAGUGAUUGAAAUGGAUUCUGAUUCAACAUAGUGAUGGACAAGCUUAAACAUCUGCUAAAAAACAAAAUGACCGAUUUUGAAGAAAGCUCUCCACUUUCAAGUCUACUAAUAUGAUGAAAAAGAUAUUUGAGGCCGUAGUGCUGAUGUGGGUACAUCUGAUUGAAGCAAUCUAAAAAUAUAGGAAUAGACAAUUAUAUUUAUUUAAAGAGGUGUGCUCAAUGUAUAUACCUGAAUUUUGGAAACUACUAUUUUAUUAUUUUCUGAAUAAAUUGGUUUGAGACCUAAA